UUCGAUCUCCUUAUUAACUCGAUGCAAAUCUGUAAACUUCCUUUGUCUGUCUUGAGCUGCUACCAAUCCCAUUCGUAUUAGCUUCACUACAUCCGAUGUUUGUUGCACCAAUUCUGGUCCUAGCAUUCAGCGUUCUCCCACUUCAUCCCAAUACAAUGGUGUUCUGCAUUUUCUCCUGUACAAGGCUUCGUAAGGCGAC
rnacentral:lncRNA from 1 species